GGGGUGUCCCUGAGGCCAGUUUCCGGCAGGCUGAAAGCCGCCUUUCAGCGUUACCAGUGAUGACAUUGGGUGAGAAAACAUUUUUUUUAAUUUUUUUUUUAAUGGUAGUUUCUUCAAAGCAAGAUGUGAAAAGCAAAAAGUCCUUCUCAAACUAGAAUUUGCUUCCUAGAGUCGAACACCGAAAACUAAUGAAAGCCAGAUGCCUUGGCCUGUCCCAGGAACAGGGAAGGGAUUAAAAACCGACCUCAGCAGCCUGAAAAUCUGCAGUUACAGGAACCUGCUCCAGGACCCAGGGUCUCCCAAGCAACAGAGGAGUCUGGGAAGGGCAUGUGUUUGUAACACCGACACACGGUGCGUGCAGGCGGCGGAGGGGACCGGUACUGCUGACACAAGGAGAGUCACUGGAGCAGAUCCCUGGAUUUAAUGUGAAAAUUUUUUUAAGCCUUUGUUUGAGGAAGCUACCAGGAGCACAGCUACAGUCAAAUAACUCUUUGCAAUGCCAUCAUUACCAGCGACAGGUAUUUAUUGAAAAAUCAACCCUUAUCUAAAUACAGAAAUAAAAGAGUUGCAGGCUGGUAAAGC
rnacentral:lncRNA from 1 species